UAAAUUUACACUAUAAAGUGCUGUGUCUUGUUGCUGUUUCCAUUUCCAACCCAUUUAUUAUUAUUUUUUAAAUCUGCUACUUCAAUCUUGUUAAAAGUUUUCUUGUGAGGAGCAUAAGGAACUAAAGCAAAAAAGCAACAACACCUCCACAGUCCAGAGUGCCCAGAUCUUCACAGCUCUGGCAUUCAAACAAAUCGCUUAGGUGUGUGCUAAAAUUCUGCAUAGCUCCUGUGUGGAAUAACAACAGAAAUCUGGGUGGCUACAGAGGCAGCCUGGCAUACAAUAGGACGUCUGCUCAACACACUAUAUGAUCUUUCUCAUCAACUUUAUGCCACAUGAGAAAAAGAAACACUUUCCACCUGGAUAACUACAUACAUAAAGCCUGACUAGCCUCACUUAUACAGGUGUAAAUCAAAAGGAAGUCUAUUGAAAUGAAUGGCGUUACAGUGGUGUUAAAAUUCCAUAAGUGAAAGGAGAAACAGGCCCAUACUGUCUGCAAAGACUUUUCUGUCCUGGCCAACUGCCUGUUUGCCUGUUGUUAAAGCCAACCCUGUAUGUGGUGUUUCAUUCACUCUUCAUACAAUCACAGCUUUGUAAAAAUAUGACAAUUAACUUGACUACCAGACUAUCUCUAUCCUAAGGAAACCUAGGGCCGAUUUCUGCUCUGAGACACCAGUACUGAAACUCAAUGGGAGUCUCAAGUGCAUAUCUAAAACGAGAAUGGGGAUGUUGCGUCUCACUGAGGUUUUGCCAUUGUUCCUGAAGACCAGAUGGGCCUCUGCUGGAUCUCAAAUUCCCUAAACUCUGAAGUGUUCAGAUUGGUGAGACACCUCAGGCUAAAUUCAGAGUUUUAACUCCAUUUACCUCGCUUACAGCCCUGAUCUGCUAUACGUCACAUGCUAUUUCUUUUAUCAUACUCACCAUGGUCAUGAGCAAAUACAAACAAGUUAAGUCCUGUCAGCAUCUGGGCUAAGUCAUCAUAGCGGCCGCAGUGUUCCCCAGCACCAUGAGCGAUAAACACAAGGGCCCUAAAUGGAACAUCAAGGUAUAAUGCAUUAACUUGGAAAUCAGCCUAGAAAGGCACCAGAGCUGUGGGUAAAAAUAGCAUCAUCAUUUUAUCAACAAGCACCUCAGACAUCAACAAAUUCAAGCCAGGUAAAUGUGGGGCCCGAGUGGCAUUUAACUGAUGGUACCAUGAUGAGGAAGGGAGCAGAUUGUCCAUAAAGACCUAGGAGCACAGGAGAAGAAAUAACAUCACAUGAACCUCGAACAGAGGGCUUGAUGGUGGCAGGCCUUUGGUUAUAUGUGAACCAGCUGCACACUGGAUGGAUGUAUUGUACUUUUCCACCUGGCUCAGCGCGAGGCUGCCACAAUGGGAAGCUACAGGUCAAUAUUGUAGGUGGGUCUCUGUAACUCUCCUUUAUCAGGCUAAUUACAUUCUGGACUGGACUUUGCUCCUAUGGAAAUCAAUGGAAGUGUUGCGAUUGACUUCAGUGGAAUCAAGGUUAGGACCUCUCUCUGUAGUUUCACCCAGAUAUAUUAUUAUACACUUUCUGACUUAAAUUGUUUUUCUGACUUACAUUGCUGCACACAAUGUUAAAUGGUUACAGGAUUUCAACAAAAAUAUGAACGCAAACCAGAACCCAGGAUCUGAGUUGAAGUUUGGGGAAUGCUGGACUUGAUCCCAAUAUCAAUGUUUUUACCCAUUUUCAAUCCAGAAAUAGCUGCACUACAGAGAUGAGUGAAGUGAUUCCUAAACAGUUACAGCAACCUUAGGCUCACAGAGCGUAAACCACUCUCGGAUCCUGCUGUGUGAAAGGUGCUAUACAAAUGCUCCUCACUAAGGACUCACAUUUUACAAAUUUCUUACAUGUUCAGAGGAAUAUCAUCAAAUAAUGAAAAUAAUGGUUUGAGUUUGGAGAAAUUUUCCUGUGUCUUUACUGGACAGUAUUUAUAAAGAAUGUUGAUUUUGUUGUAAAAAUAAUUAUGGCCGAGUGAAACUCCAGAAGUUUGCUCUGAUUGGUAGAUCUUUUUUCACCCCUAUUAAAUUUUAGUAUC